rnacentral:rRNA from 1 species
CCUACGGGUGGCAGCAGUGAGGAAUAUUGCUCAAUGGGCGCGAGCCUGAACCAGCAACGCCGCGUGAGUGAUGAAGGUUUUAUGGACCGUAAACCCUUUUUUUAAGGGAAUAAGGUGUGGGACGUGUCUUAUCUUGUAUGUACCUUAUGAAUCAGGAUCGGCUAACCUCGUUCCAGCAGCCGCGGUAAUACGGUGGAUCCGAGCGUUAUCCGGAUUUAUUGGGUUUAAAGGGUGCGUAGGCGGCCUUUUAAGUCAGCGGUGAAAGUCUGUGGCUCAACCGGAGAAUUGUCUUUGAAACUGGGGGACUUGAGUGUGUAUGAGGCGGGCGGAAUGCGAGGUGUAGCGGUGAAAUGCUUAGAUAUCACGCAGAACCCCAGUUGCGAAGGCGGCCUGCCAGGCCGUGACUGACGCUGAUGCACGAAAGCGUGGGGAGCAAACAGGAUUAGAUACCCGAGUAGUC